CAGGCCUAACACAUGCAAGUCGAACGCGAGUGCAAGAUAGAGUGGCGCACGGGUGAGUAACACGUGGGAAUCUGCCCUUCUCUGCGGGACAACAGUUGGAAACGACUGCUAAUACCGCAUACGCCCUUCGGGGGAAAGGUCCGCCGGAGAAGGAGGAGCCCGCGUCUGAUUAGCUUGUUGGUGGGGUAAAGGCCUACCAAGGCGACGAUCAGUAGCUGGUCUGAGAGGAUGAUCAGCCACACUGGGACUGAGACACGGCCCAGACUCCUACGGGAGGCAGCAGUGGGGAAUAUUGGACAAUGGAGGCAACUCUGAUCCAGCAAUGCCGCGUGUGUGAUGAAGGCCCUAGGGUUGUAAAGCACUUUCAUUGGUGAAGAUGAUGACGGUAACCAAAGAAGAAGCCCCGGCUAACUUCGUGCCAGCAGCCGCGGUAAUACGAAGGGGGCGAGCGUUGUUCGGAAUUACUGGGCGUAAGGGGAGCGCAGGCGGUUCAUUUAGUUAGGCGUGAAAGCCCCGGGCUCAACCUGGGAACUGCGCUUAAUACUGAUGAGCUAGAAAACAGAAGAGGAUAGUGGAAUUCCCAGUGUAGAGGUGAAAUUCGUAGAUAUUGGGAAGAACACCGGUGGCGAAAGCGGCUAUCUGGUCUGAU
rnacentral:rRNA from 1 species